rnacentral:rRNA from 1 species
UACGAAGGGGGCUAGCGUUGCUCGGAAUCACUGGGCGUAAAGCGCACGUAGGCGGCUCGUUAAGUCGGGGGUGAAAUCCUGGAGCUCAACUCCAGAACUGCCCUCGAUACUGACGAGCUCGAGUCCGGGAGAGGUGAGUGGAACUGCGAGUGUAGAGGUGAAAUUCGUAGAUAUUCGCAAGAACACCAGUGGCGAAGGCGGCUCACUGGCCCGGUAACUGACGCUGAGGUGCGAAAGCGUGGGGAGCAAACAGG